CAGCAGCAGCCGCGGGAAUACAGAGGGUGCGAGCGUUAAUCGGAUUUACUGGGCGUAAAGCGUGCGUAGGCGGCUUUUUAAGUCGGAUGUGAAAUCCCUGAGCUUAACUUAGGAAUUGCAUUCGAUACUGGGAAGCUAGAGUAUGGGAGAGGAUGGUAGAAUUCCAGGUGUAGCGGUGAAAUGCGUAGAGAUCUGGAGGAAUACCGAUGGCGAAUGCAGCCAUCUGGCCUAAUACUGACGCUGAGGUACGAAAGCAUGGGGAGCAAACAGGAUUAGAGACCCCCGUAGUCCCUGUCUCUUAUAA
rnacentral:rRNA from 1 species